GGUACGGGACAACAGUUGGAAACGACUGCUAAUACCGUAUACGCUGGUAACGGGAAAGGGGGCCUCUUCUUGAAAGCUCUCGCCAGUAGAUGAGUCCGCGUUUCAUUAGCUAGACGGUGGGGUAACGGCCUACCGUGGCAACGAUGAAUAGCAGGCCUGAGAGGGUGGCCUGCCACACUGGGACUGGAACACGGCCCAGACUCCUACGGGAGGCAGCAGUGGGGAAUAUUGCGCAAUGGACGAAAGUCUGACGCAGCGACGCCGCGUGGAGGAUGAAGGUUUUCGGAUCGUAAACUCCUGUCAAGAGGGAAGAAACCUAUCGAAAUUAAUACUUUCGGUAAUUGACGGUACCUCUAGAGGAAGCACCGGCUAAUUCAGUGCCAGCAGCCGCGGUAAUACUGAAGGUGCAAGCGUUAAUCGGAAUCACUGGGCGUAAAGCGCUCGUAGGUGGCUUUGUAAGUCAGGUGUGAAAGCCCACGGCUCAACCGUGGAAUUGCACUUGAUACUGCAUCGCUAGAGUAUAGGAGAGGGAAGUGGAAUUUCUGGUGUAGGAGUGAAAUCCGUAGAGAUCAGAAGGAACACCCGUGGCGAA
rnacentral:rRNA from 1 species